UGAACGCUGGCGGCGUGCUUAACACAUGCAAGUCGAACGAGAAGUGGAGACGGAAACCUUCGGGCGGAAGACUUUAUUUCGAGUGGCGGACGGGUGAGUAACGCGUGGGUAACCUGCCUCAUACAGGGGGAUAACAGUUGGAAACGACUGUUAAUACCGCAUAAGACCACAGCACCGCAUGGUGCGGGGGUAAAAACUCCGGUGGUAUGAGAUGGACCCGCGUUCGAUUAGCCAGUUGGCGGGGUAACGGCCCACCAAAGCGACGAUCGAUAGCCGAUCUGAGAGGAUGACCGGCCACAUUGGGACUGAGACACGGCCCAAACUCCUACGGGAGGCAGCAGUGGGGAAUAUUGCACAAUGGGGGAAACCCUGAUGCAGCGACGCCGCGUGAGUGAAGAAGUAUUUCGGUAUGUAAAGCUCUAUCAGCAGGGAAGAAAAUGACGGUACCUGAGUAAGAAGCCCCGGCUAACUACGUG
rnacentral:rRNA from 1 species